rnacentral:rRNA from 1 species
GACGAACCGUGCGAACGUUGUUCGGAUUCACUGGGCUUAAAGGGCGCGUAGGCGGCUUGCCAAGUCAGGGGUGAAAUCUUUCGGCUCAACCGGAAAAGUGCUUCUGAUACUGGCGGGCUGGAGGGGGGUAGGGGCAGAUGGAACUUCCGGUGGAGCGGUGAAAUGCGUAGAUAUCGGAAGGAACGCCGGUGGCGAAAGCGAGGUCCUGGACGUCUGCUGACGCUGAGACGCGAAAGCCAGGGGAGCGAACGGGG